rnacentral:rRNA from 1 species
UACGUAGGCAGCGAGCGUUGUUCGGAGUUACUGGGCGUAAAGAGUGCGUAGGCGGUGUUCCAAGUCUGUUGUGAAAUCUCCCGGCUCAACUGGGAGGGUGCGGCGGAAACUGGGACGCUGGAGUACGGGAGAGGUAAGCGGAAUUCCUGGUGUAGCGGUGAAAUGCGUAGAUAUCAGGAGGAACACCUGCGGUGUAGACGGCUUACUGGACCGUAACUGACGCUGAGGCACGAAAGCGUGGGUAGCGAACAGG